AAAACUUUAUGAUACUCCUAGAUUUGAUAGAUGAGACCACUUUAUGUUUUGAUCAUUUUUUAAAUGAUAUACCAUACACAAACUAUAUGUUUCCUCUACUCCUAAUGUCGCACCAUAUGACAUGACGUCGUGCCACAAUUUAUCCAACUAAUGCAUAACUAUUAUUCACAAACAUUGUGCAGCCCCUACCUCUGACUGGUCUCUUGGGGAUUGCAGACUGUGUCACUGGUCUCUUGGGGGAUUGCAGGCUGGUGUCAGCUGGUCUUCCUGGGGUGUGCAGACUGUGUCACUGGUCUCCUGGGGUUGCAGACUGUGUCACUGGUCUCCUGGGGUUGCAGACUGUGUCACUGGUCUCUUGGGGAUUGCAGACUGUGUCACUGGUCUCUUGGGGAUUGCAGACUGUGUCACUGGUCUCUUGGGGAUUGCAGACUGUGUCACUGGUCUCUUGGGGAUGCAGACUGAGUCACUGGUCUCCUGGGGAUUGCAGACUGAGUCACUGGUCUCCUGGGGAUUGCAGACUGAGUCACUGGUCUCCUGGGGAUUGCAGACUGAGUCACUGGUCUCUGGGGAUUGCAGACUGUGUCACUCGUCUCCUGGGGUGUGCAGACUGUGUCACUCGUCUCCUGGGGUGUGCAGACUGUGUCACUCGUCUCCUGGGGUGUGCAGACUGUGUCACUCGUCUCCUGGGGUGUGCAGACUGUGUCACUCGUCUCCUGGGGUGUGCAGACUGUGUCACUCGUCUCCUGGGUGUGCAGACUGUGUCACUGGUCUCCUGAGGUGUGCAGACUGCAUCACCGGCCUCCUGGCUGCGCGGCUCGUCGCUAAGAUCCUCGGACCGCGGUUUGAGGUGGAUUCUUUGGUGUCGGACCAGACUGUGCUUCAGGGUGAAGGUCCUCUCGCAGGUGGAGCACUGGUACGGACGCUCUCCUGAGGAACACGAGUUCAUCGUCACUAAAAAGGCUUCGACACACAAGAAACUGACCGACUAAAUGCAUAUGUUCACCACGAGAAACUAGUGUGACAAUUACCACACCUUUAAAAAAGGUCCUAAAAAACUGGUUGAAAACAAAACUACUCACAGGUAGAUGAUCAAUGUAACCUCUUGGGCGUGUCUCACCUGUGACUGUCCUUGUAACUGACCUCUGUGACGGUAACUUUGUUCUGUUCUAUGUCUGUAUUUCUCUUCUGUCAAUGAAUGUUCUUUAGCUGCUUUAGGACAACGAAUGCACUUUAGCUAUUAUGCGAAUUCUGGUACAUUUACAUUGAGGCUUUCUGCUGACGUGUUGAUUAAUGUGCACUGUCCUAAUUCAAAUAAAUAAAAAUAUAUUUGAGGUAAUAGUAUUAUUAGUAGUAUUAGUACCUGUGUGUAACCUCAUGUGCCUGUAAUGCUACAGUAUCUGAAGUAUUUGAAGUAUUUGCAGUAGGAGUACCUGUGUGUGACCUCAUAUGCCUCGUCAGGUCUUGGAGGCUCCAGAACCUUUUGCCGCAGACGUUGCAGAUUUUCUGCGUUUGUCGAU
rnacentral:lncRNA from 1 species